rnacentral:rRNA from 1 species
UAAGACGUGGGAUAACUUCGGGAAACCGGAGCUAAUACCGGAUAAUAUUUCGAACCGCAUGGUUCGAUAGUGAAAGGUGGUUUUGCUAUCACUUAUAGAUGGACCCGCGCCGUAUUAGCUAGUUGGUAAGGUAACGGCUUACCAAGGCGACGAUACGUAGCCGACCUGAGAGGGUGAUCGGCCACACUGGAACUGAGACACGGUCCAGACUCCUACGGGAGGCAGCAGCU